rnacentral:rRNA from 1 species
GUGGGGAAUUUUGGACAAUGGGGGCAACCCUGAUCCAGCAAUGCCGCGUGCAGGAAGAAGGCCUUCGGGUUGUAAACUGCUUUUGUACGGAACGAAACGGUCUGGGUUAAUACCCUGGGCUAAUGACGGUACCGUAAGAAUAAGCACCGGCUAACUACGUGCCAGCAGCCGCGGUAAUACGUAGGGUGCGAGCGUUAAUCGGAAUUACUGGGCGUAAAGCGUGCGCAGGCGGUUUUGUAAGACAGGCGUGAAAUCCCCGGGCUCAACCUGGGAAUGGCGCUUGUGACUGCAAAGCUGGAGUGCGGCAGAGGGGGAUGGAAUUCCGCGUGUAGCAGUGAAAUGCGUAGAUAUGCGGAGGAACACCGAUGGCGAAGGCAAUCCCCUGGGCCUGCACUGACGCUCAUGCACGAAAGCGUGGGGAGCAAACAGGAUUAGAAACCCCUGUAGUCC